rnacentral:rRNA from 1 species
UACAGAGGUGGCAAGCGUUGUUCGGAAUUACUGGGCGUAAAGGGCGCGUAGGCGGGCUGUCAAGUCUGGGGUGAAAUCCCGCGGCUCAACCGUGGAACUGCCUCAGAUACUGACGGUCUCGAGGGGGAUAGGGGCGAGCGGAACUGUGAGUGGAGCGGUGAAAUGCGUUGAUAUUCACAGGAACUCCGGUGGCGAAGGCGGCUCGCUGGAUCUCUUCUGACGCUGAGGCGCGAAAGCUAGGGGAGCAAACGGG